CAGUAUGAUCAUGUAUUUUAAUAUGUAUGAGAUACCUAGAACUGAAAAAUAAAAUGAUUAGUAUGUACCUUUCAGUAUUUAGCAGAUUCUAAACUUCUUACCUUAAUGAUAUUGGUGGAUUUUCCUUUUGCAAUGUCAUAUACCUUCCUAUUCCAAAUUUUACAGGAGUUUGUAUUAUAAAUCCCUGUCCAGAUCAAUGUGGACAACAAUCGCUAAAAUUCAAUAGUACAAUCCUUGUAAACUCUCUCUUAUGAAUUAAACAAACUUAUUGCAUCUUCAUCAAAACAAAUCAAAAUUUGAUAAUUUAUGCUAAUAGACGACACAUCAUAUUCAUAGCUAAUCUGGAUCUUUAUUUUAAAUUUUUAAUUAUAUGUACAUCUCAAAUAUUUGAAUAAAAAAGAAUAUAUAUAUAUAUUUUUAAAACAAUAACAAACUCCUCGGUUAUAUUUACAAGGAUUGCACUAUUGAAUUAUAGCGACUGUCAUCAACAUUGAUCUAGAUGGGGAUUUAUAGUACAGCUCCUAUAAAACUUGGAAUAUGAAGGUAUAUGACAUUGCAAAAGGAAAAUCCACCAAUAUCAUUAAGGUAAGAAGUUUAGAAUCUGAUAAAUACUGAAAGGUACGCAAUAAUUGUUUUUAUUUUUUUCAGUUCUAGGUAUCUCAUAUGUAUUAAAAUACAUGAUCAUACCGGAGAAGUUGCUAUAACUAUUUUUAAAUAAAAUAUUGAAAUCCUAUUGAGAAAAUCUGUUAAUGAACUGUACGAUCUAUAUAUAGAGGUAAUACAACCAUGAUAUCUUUCAAUUAAGCAAUGUUUCCUGAUAAUAGAUAUAUGAAUAUAGUGUUUUGUGUCUAUAUUGUAGGAGGGCAAACCAACAAAGCUGAAAGAAGUUGUUAAGAAAAUAUUGUGGAAACACUACAUCUUCAUUUUAAAAUUAACAACAAACAACACCACCUCAUCUGCAAGGUCCGACUAGGCUAUAUGUGGCAUAUUUCAAAUAGACAAUGCUGAAGAAUCAUUCCCUUUUACAACUUACUGCUCAAUAUGAUCAACCUAACAAAAGGUUAUAACUAUACUGUUGCUUUACUUAGUCAUUUAAAGCAUAAAGAUGUUACUAAGUCUUCCUUCUUUAUUUCUUUCAUAGGUUGAAAUAAUCACAAGAUGAAUGCUCCGAC
rnacentral:lncRNA from 1 species